UUGCAGCCAAUUAAGCCGACUGUGCUCUUUUCCCCAUGGGGGCCCUGUGUGCAAUGGCUGCAAACAGCAGCCUCCUCGGUAGUGUAUGCGGCCUGUUGCCUGUGUGGGUUGCCCUAAGGCACCUUGGAGACAGCC
ensembl:snoRNA SNORA70 Small nucleolar RNA SNORA70